AGUGAACGCUGGCGGUAGGCCUAACACAUGCAAGUCGAACGGCAGCACAGUAAGUGCCUGCUCUUACGGGUGGCGAGUGGCGGACGGGUGAGGAAUACAACGGAACCUAUAUUUUCGUGGGGGAUAACGUAGGGAAACUUACGCUAAUACCGCAUACGACCUACGGGUGAAAGCAGGGGAACUUCGGACCUUGCGCGCUUGUAUGAGCCGAUGUCGGAUUAGGUAGCUGGCGGGGGAAAGGGCCACCAAGGCGAAGAUCCGUAGGUGGUCGGGGAGGGUGGUGCGGCCACAUGGGAAGGGAGACACGGGCCAGACUCCUACGGGAGGAGGCAGUGGGGAAUUUUGGGCAAGGGGCGAAAGCCGGACGCAGCAACCCGGGGGGGGGAAGGAGGGCUUUGGGUUGGAAAGCCCUUUUUUUUGGGAAAAAAAAGAGGGGGAUUAAAACGUGCACAUUGUGACGGUACCUAAUAAGAAAGCCACGGCUAACUACGUG
rnacentral:rRNA from 1 species